AUUUCGUAGGGUUGAUAUGAAGUUAAGUCUCUAUGCCUUGAGUUUCUAACUGGAUUAAUGACCCGGGCAUCCAACGCUUUCCAUAAUAUUC
rnacentral:rRNA from 1 species